CUUUCUUACCUUAAAUAACUUAUCAUUUUUCAUUACUUUUGUUUUAAAUGUCUAUAUAGUAUUCUCUACAAUCCCAAAUUCUGGAUUGACGCCCCAGUACCAGAGGGCACCCCAAUCCCAGAGAGCACACCAAUCCCAGAGAGCAUCCAUCUGAAAGCAGGUGAGGUAACACAAGAAAAACUAACAGGAUGGAGACUACCUGAUUCUUUGCCUAUGGCCUCAGCUUCAAAUGCAAGAAGUCCAGCAACUGUCUGAGUUGUUGGAUAUUCUGUCAGAAACGGCGUGAACAAUGUUAUGAACAGAAUGAUGUCUUAUUGUCUUAUGGCAAAGUUCAAUAUGAGGGGUGGCGGACAUCUGGAAAAGUUCAAUAUGAGUGGUGGUGGACAUCUGGAAAAGAAGUCUUUUAAAGGCACACCUUUGUAUUAUGUUAUUCAAGGUAAUUUGGGGAAUAUGUUGAUCUAAAAAACGUGUUUUUGUAUAUUGAUGUAAUUUUUGUUGCUAUGCUUUAUCUAUUCAGGGGACAUCACAGCUCACCUGUCUUUAGCAGAAAUGUCCUGUUCAUUUUUUGACAAUUACAAACCUAGUAAAGGGUCUUUCUCAAG